GGAAGGAUCAUUAUUGCACAGUCUGGUGAGAAACCAGGUGUUGUCUCUUGCGUGUGCCCUCGGCGACUGCUAUUUUCGAUUCUUGAAAAACUGGUUUGCAUCCUAUUUAAAACAUAAUCAUGAGUCCAAGCAAUGGAUAUCUUGGUUCCCACAACGAUGAAGAACGCAGCGAAAUGCGAUACGUAAUGUGAAUUGCAGGGUUAAGUGAAUCAUCAAAUGUUUGAACGCAAGUUGCGCCGCCUCGGCGGCAUGCUUCUUUGAGUGUCGGUUUCUAUAUCUGGUGUGCGAUUCCUUGGGAAUUGCGCUGGUCCUCGUCGAACUUGAGGCCCCAUCGCCGGUUGCAAAGCAGGCAGGGCGGGCUGCGGCGUCCCCGACGUGUUGCCCCCGCGCAGCACCUCUCAAACGUGUAUAGACCUCAAAUGAAGUAGGACGACCCGCUGAAUUUAAGCAUAUAAUUAAGCGGAGGAAGAGAAACUAACGAGGAUUCCCUCAGUAACGGCGAGUGAAGCGGGAAGAGUUCAAACCUGGAAUCGUCUCGCGACGAAUUGUGGUGUGUAGACGCGUGUCUCAGUGGCUGUGCCGAUGGAAGUCGAUUGGAAGGUCGCAUCAGAGAGGGUGAAAAUCCCGUUCGACAUUGGAUCCGCAGUCACGUUCGAGCCGCCGUCUUUGAGUCGGGUUGCUUGGGAGUGCAGCCCUAAGCGGGUGGUAAAUUCCAUCUAAAACUAAAUAUGUGUGGGAGACCGAUAGCGAACAAGUACCGUGAGGGAAAGAUGAAAAGAACUUUGAAAAGAGAGUUAAAAGUACUUGAAAUUGUUUGGAUUGAAGGGAUGACGCCCAGUCGGUCAGGAUGGCUUGCGUGGCGGGUUUGCUGCGCCCGGGGGUAGGUAGCUCGCGCCUCGGCGCGAGUGUUUAGCCCCGGGCGUCCAGAUCCCGCCGGUGAGCGAGGUCGCGGAUAGAUCCUGACAAAAUGGUCGUCAUUCACCCGUCUUGAAACACGGACCAAGGAGUCUUACAUGUGUGCGAGUGUUAGUGUGAGGAAGCAUUAUCGCGUAAUGAAAGUGAAUUCGUUUGCAGACGAGGGCGACUACGGUACGACCCGGAGCAUACAUGCAGGGACCCGAAAGAUGGUGAACUAUGCCUGGGCAGGAUGAAGCCAGGGGAAACUCUGGUGGAGGUCCGAAGCGAUACUGACGUGCAAAUCGUUCGUGUGAGCUGGGUAUAGGGGCGAAAGACUAAUCGAACCGUCUGGUAGCUGGUUCCCUC
rnacentral:misc_RNA from 1 species